UGAUAUCUAAUGCAUAUAAGGCCCUAAAACAUGGUAUAUAAAUUCAAUGGCAGUAACUUGAUUAUUAACUGAUUGUGAUUAAAAAAUAACAAGCUGAAACUAAAAGGCCUAAGGACAGGAUUCCUAUAUCUAAAAUGCAUGUUCUAUGCAUGGUUUCUAUUACGCAAAUAGAUAAGUAAAAUCCUAUAAACAUGUUUUCUACCCAUUCC
rnacentral:lncRNA from 1 species